CCCUGCAUCCGAAAGUGAUCUUGGCUGCGUGUGCUGAGGUCAUUGGUAACGCAGGGAAAGGAUGCUGAAAGACAUGUUCUGAGUUCGGGGUGUCUGUUCCUGACUCCUCCAGCUCCUGGAGCUUUCCUACA